rnacentral:tRNA from 1 species
GUGGUGGUAGGUCAGUCGGGUAAGCGCUCGCUUCUCAUGCCAGAGAUGCGGGUUCGAAUCCCGGCGCUGACAUGUACCAUA